UAUUGUUAUUAUUAUUAUUCACAUUAGAACUAGAAUGAUGUGGUUCUGACUUCGAUGGUUCUGGUUGUGGUUUAACACGUAGACUGGAUGAGCUGCCCCAGCCAUUUUGUAAAAGAAGUGGACGUAGAGACAUGGAUGGUGAAGGACCACGGCACUCAUCAUGUCUGUGGUCAUCCACUAAUGAGUCAUCAUCAAUGAAUGCCAUCAUGUCAUUUUCUGGGGUGCUGCAACAGGAAUCACGAAUAACAACAUCCCCAUUAAGGUACAAAGUAAGCGACAUCUAAGACAUCUUUGCCGCCAUUUUCCAGAUGGACGUUACGAUUUAAAUUGCUGAUUACGAUGCCGACAAAACACCUGAAAGAAAACUCGUUCAAACAGCUAACAGAUUCGGCUAUACCUCGGUGUUAAGUAGUCCAAAUGAGCACUGUUAACGUGCACCAACAUUUCCGUGGGCGAGAUUUCGCCGAGGUCGCAAAAGGGGCAGUUUGCGGCUCCUUGAAGAUGAUAAAACACCAUGUGUGACCUCAUCUCCUCGUCGUUGAAGCCCUCGAGGCCGCAGAUCUCGCACGUGUAAUUCAUUUCAGGUGGUUUGCUGGCCGCCAUUUUUCUCGCGUGCAAUCAACACUCGGCCUAUCUAUAAUGAGAACGGAAAUGCACAUUAUUAGAUUUGCACAUGCACCGGAACGCGAUAAUCCAAUCAAGACGAGACCGUGCCUCGCGGGGGAUGAGAGCCUCCCCAACACCGGAGGAUCAAUUAGAAAUCUUUCGAAUCUACAUGGUCAACGGCAUCACAGUCCGCAAGAGGAGAACGAUGCUUGAUCACUCGCGUGCAGUUUGCACCCUUCGGAGGAGCGCAGACGGGGAGGCCAGCUGACCAAAACGAGGCGACUCGCACGGGUGCAUUGGGAACGCACCGCCGUGUAUUUUGCCCGAAGAAUCGAUAAUUGAAUUCAGGGUCGCGUGCAGGCGUCCGCGAUUGCCACCCUUAAGCGGUUCUCGCGUGCGAUUCACGAGAACGUAUCAACAGAGCAGCAAGAGGAACGCGACACGGAUCGUUUCCGGAUGCAUCGUACCAAGAGCGACAUCAGCAAUGUUACGAGCCAAAGCGACGCGACCCUCUCACCUCCUCAGACUGGCCGUGCUGCGAUCGCGAGACAAUCAAUGCGACCCCGACGACGCGGAUCUCAUUAUUAUUUUUCCUCCGUCGGGGAGCUUCGAUCGGAGGGACCGCGACGACGAUGGCGACGUCGACGACGAGCACGGCACCACCGAAACCAGGGGCGGCAGCAGCGUUAUGCAGCCGCGUGUGCACUCUCGUUCGCGUCCCCGUCGACGAGGAGGUCGCGUGCCUUCUCACUUCGUAGCCCUCGGGGAAACUAGGCCAUGGAACGGACUCUCGCAAGAGGAACCGAGUGCACACACGUCGAGUUGCUGGGUUGGGUUGACCCAUUUAGAAAAGCCGUGCACUCUCUCGAUGCUCGCGUUUUCUCUCUCGAGCCGUCUCUCGCCGAAGCAUAGACACGGUCGGCGGACCCUGCCACUCACCGGAUUAUGUAUCAAAUUCUCUCCGGCUCUUCGUAAAGGCCACCUUCCGGGGCCAGAGGUCUCGUGUUUUCGGCGACACUGUGUUCCCUAGCCAGAAGACACGGCAAGGCGUCCGUGCAGGCCCGGCUGCCUAACACGGCGCCUCGUUUGCCUCCAUAUGGACAGCGCCAAUCCACCCCAACACUUUCGUGGAAAGAGUUUCCCGUUCCGCCACCCCACUGUGUCGACCCGCCACCACUCGUCUACACGGCUGUUAGGAGGGUUGCGCGAACACGGCGGACCUUGCCGAAGGCGCUACCGUCGCCCCACGAUCUUUCGAACCGUCUGAGCUGGACAAAACCCAAAUUCUUUCCUAAAUCCCACAAAAUCCAACAAUCGUCGUACAUUUCUUUUUACGCAACUUCUCGUAUCAAGCUACAAUGCUAUCUUGUAGUUUAUUGAUUUUUUUUACCACUUCAUAGUCCCUUUAACGCUGGAACUACCGGACGUGAUGAAGCGACUGAUUUCUGAUUAUUUCUUUUACAGUCGUUGAUAUUUUCGAAAUGUUUCUACGUGACAUCUUUUUACUAACUUCUUUGGUCAAACUAUAAGUCAUACGAAGAGCGUGUAAAUCCAAUUUUAUCAAAUGCGGUGGUCACGUUUCCGGCUCAGUAGUUCUUCUGUUAAUGGUAUUCUUUAUAUGUAGACUGCGGAUUUUAUGCAUUUUUAUCAGACAAUUGAAUAAAUAAAUUACAGAUAGAGAUUGCUAUUUAUAAUAAUGCAAGAUACAAACAUAUUCAUUUUUACAUUACAUUGUUGCAUUCUAUUUCUUGUAGAUAGUAACAGACUAUUUUUAUUUUAUGCAAAAAUUUGCGGUCUAAAUAUAAUAAAUUCAUUCUUUUAUAGCAACUGGUAGAUCUAAUCUGAAGUAUUGCUAUUCAUCUCGCGGGGCAUACUUUUCUGAUCAAUUAGCAUGUACCAUUCAAAACAUUGUGCAUCGUUUGCAACCCUCUGCGCCCGGCCUGGAGCUUGCAGCUUUUUGUCCGCCGGUUUUCCGUUUGACUUCACCUGCGACCCUUCAUCACGAACGAUUGGCGCCAGAAGGGUGACGGUGGCUUAUAACGCGAAUCUUUUACGGGACUCUUGACCCCAAACAGUUUCAUGAAACUCUACCCUUUCUGUUCCCCGAAGAAAAAUCCGGCGCGAACUUGAUUAGAUCUGUAGACGGGAGUCUCUCGGCGUGCUAGGCGAAGCGAAUUUUCAACGGAGAACAAAUGCCGCAUAUAUCAGCCUGGGAUGACAAUGCGCUCAAUGGAGGCACCUUUAGAGCGCAGGCUCGUGAUAUUUGAAUCUUAUUUAUGAGUGUCGGCGCGAGUUUCCGGGUUACCGAGGCCGCCUUUUCUGGCGUUUACGCGUUGCUAACAGGCCGACCAUAUAAACACCGUCCGUGAGGGGUAGCCAGGCACCGUGGCGGCCGGCUAAAACGCGAUUGAAGCUAUCGGGAAUCUCGAACGGCGUUGGCCGAAGCCUGUGAUUAAGGAAAUUCGCUUUAAUCGCCGUGGAACGCGCGAGGACCGUCAUCAUUUUCACAGAGUAUCGCCGAUCGUCUUUGUCACGCGCUGACCUUUCCAAGCGGAACGUUUUCUCUCGUCGCGCACCGCUUUCGAACGAUAGCUAAGUACUCAAACAAACAAAAACAAAAGUUAACAAUCGGUUCUGGACCAGCGUGCGCCGCCGCGCAGUGACUUCGUGGAAAAUCCUUCUCUAACGUCUAAUUUUUCAAGGCGCGUUUAUCGCCGCCUCGUUGCGUCCCAAUUUCGCUCAUUGCGUUCCCAUUGUCCUCGUACAAAAGCAGUUUUCCAUAAUGACAAGUCGGCGAGCACGAGCAGCAUCGACUGCAUUAUCCAAAUUGCAGAACGUGGAGAGCAUCGAUGCGGGCUAAUCUGUUCUCGUUGCGGUGACCGUAUGUGUGAGUCACUCCUCAUCGAUUGGCCCGAUGUGCCCUGCUUCCGGCAGAGCGAAUCGCGAGGAUUUUCUUCGUUACAGCAGAACGCUUUAGCAAAAAUUAAACCGCUCCGGCAAGCGGCAUUAGAGGAAAUUCUCGUUCCUGUGGAGACUACUUUGAUUUUUUUGUUCAGAGUAUCCUGAGCAGGUGUCGAUCUUUGAUCUCGGGCGAUAAAAUCUUACAACGUCCUGUCUGUUGCUCGGCUCAAGCACUGGUCGCGCGUGCAAAACCACGUUGAAACGAUACAGAACAAGAUUCUUUAGUCUCGGUGUGAUCGUUUUAAUGCAGAAGCCUCGAGAAAGUAACUUCUCUACUCGAAGUUAGUUUUCUAUUCGAGCACAGAUUUACAAUGGAGAAAAAUGAUCGAAACAAAAGCUAAAUUCACGGGUGUGAAAACAGAGACUCCGCUCUUUAAAAUGAGCACAAACAGAAUGUCGUGAGAAACUCGUACAUAAAGUCGCAGGAGUUCAAAGAUCGACAAGUCGGUUGACGAUUUCACCGGUGAUUUUUGUUAUAGCGUUCCCCUCGGUGCCGUAAGUCCCAGAAAAAUUGGAAACUACGGUGUGCAUAGUCUUAGCGAGCAGGGUGGAAUGUAACGGGGAAGGCGGAGGCGGACAUUGCGAAUGCAGAUCGCGGUUGACAAAGGACAUUCCGCUGGCACGAUGCAGUCGCGCGACAAAUUUACGCGAGAAACUCGAUUUCCCGCGCUGCAUGCGCUAUGGAGGCUGUCUACGAGCCUGGCUCUCGAUUUUUGCCGCUGUUCGACGCCGGUUCAUUGACAUGCAGCCGACGAUUGACGGAGGAUGCGACGUCCACAGAACUAUUUGGUCUUUCCCCUUGCUCGCGCUGGCUCUCCUCCUCCGUCCCCUUCGCUCGGAGGGUGCGUGAGGCAAAUACGUGAACCGUACAUGCAUAGAAAGUAAAUCGCCAUCGAAUUUAUAUUAACGACGUCCACUCGUUGCUCUAACACAAUAGAAAUCCUCCAAACUUCGAAUGGAAUCGCCGAUACCGAUCCGCUCGAUCUGGAAAACACAGAGACAUUAUUAUCCUGUCGCUACAAUAUCGUACAUCGAUUCAUAACUCUUGGCACAAUCGUUCUUUCUGCAUGCAAUAAAGUGCCUCGCACUCUCCAAUGUUUGGUAAACGCAA